UAGUAAGUUUAAUAGGGUAAUUACUUUUAAAAAUUUUAACAAAACAUAUUCAGUUACACAUGACAAACAAAUAAAUGACUAAUCUAUUCCGACUCCAUUAGUAACCUAUAAUUAUUCUUCAAGUUUUCUAAAUUACAUAAAAUAUCAUAUUAUCAAUUAUUAAGUUUCAAUACCAUAACAGAUAAUAAGGUGAAUGAUUCUUACCCAAAUCGGUAUUCAAAACACUGAACUUUCAGGUGCGCCUACUGACACUCCUCGAUUUUCCUGAAUUUUUUUUGCGGAGAUUAAAACAUGUUUCACGUACCUAAAAAUACCCAAAAAAUUCAAAAUCGAUGUUAAAAACCUUUUCUGAUCAAUUUCAGAAUUCCGGCACGAUUGCGGUUUGCCUUGGACUGGCCGUUUUUGGCUAGUUUUUGCCGAUUUUAUACUCAUCCCUACGAGAAAAUAUGUUAGGAGGCCUCGGUUGGCAAAAAAAAAUGAAAAAUAAAAACCUACUGGUGGUAGAAUUUUUCGGUGCGGCAGCUCUGCCACCUCACCUUCAUGGCUA
rnacentral:lncRNA from 1 species